UAAUACCAGCACCCCGAGUGGUCGGGACGUUUAUUGGGCCUAAAGCAUCCGUAGCCGGUUCUACAAGUCUUCCGUUAGAUCCACCUGCUUAACAGAUGGGCUGCGGAAGAUACUACAGAGCUAGGAGGCAGGAGAGGCAAGCGGUACUCAGUGGGUAGGGGUAAAAUCCGUUGAUCCAUUGAAGACCACCAGUGGCGAAGGCGG
rnacentral:rRNA from 1 species